rnacentral:misc_RNA from 1 species
CACCACUCAAGCUAUGCUUGGUGUUGGGUGUUUGUCUCGCCUCUGCGUGUAGACUCGCCUCAAAACAAUUGGCAGCCGGCGUAUUGAUUUCGGAGCGCAGUACAUCUCGCGCUUUGCACUCAUAACGACGACGAUCCAAAAGUACAUUUUUACAC